rnacentral:tmRNA from 1 species
GGGCCGAACCAGGAUCGACGUGUGUUGAAAAGCGCCGACUAUCUCUCAGCGUGGGCCACUGUGACGGUCCAUUACACAAGUGCCAACGAUAACGAAGCACUCGCUAUUGCGGCGUAACCUACAAGGCUUAACGGCCUAAGGUUAUUCUAAAAUGCGCGGUUGGACCGCACCGGGCAACAGAAGCGGAUUCCAGCGGUACGGGGGACACCGGGCAACAGAAGUCCCCCACU